GAUGAACGCUGGCGGCGUGCUUAACACAUGCAAGUCGAACGAAGACAUCUGAGUGCUUGCACUUGGAUGGACUGAGUGGCGGACGGGUGAGUAACGCGUGGGUAACCUGCCUUAUACAGGGGGAUAACAGUUGGAAACGACUGCUAAUACCGCAUAAGCGCACGGUAUCGCAUGAUACAGUGUGAAAAACUCCGGUGGUAUAAGAUGGACCCGCGUCUGAUUAGCUUGUUGGUGAGGUAACGGCCCACCAAGGCGACGAUCAGUAGCCGGCCUGAGAGGUGAACGGCCACAUUGGGACUGAGACACGGCCCAAACUCCUACGGGAGGCAGCAGUGGGGAAUAUUGCACAAUGGGGGAAACCCUGAUGCAGCGACGCCGCGUGAGUGAUGAAGUAUUUCGGUAUGUAAAACUCUAUCAGCAGGGAAGAUAAAUGACGGGUACCUGACUAAGAAGCACCGGCUAAAUACGUGCCAGCAGCCGC
rnacentral:rRNA from 1 species